rnacentral:rRNA from 1 species
GACGAACGCUGGCGGCGUGCCUAAUACAUGCAAGUAGAACGCUGAAGGAGGAGCUUGCUUCUCUGGAUGAGUUGCGAACGGGUGAGUAACGCGUAGGUAACCUGCCUGGUAGCGGGGGAUAACUAUUGGAAACGAUAGCUAAUACCGCAUAAGAGUAGAUGUUGCAUGACAUUUGCUUAAAAGGUGCAAUUGCAUCACUACCAGAUGGACCUGCGUUGUAUUAGCUAGUUGGUGGGGUAACGGCUUACCAAGGCGACGAUACAUAGCCGACCUGAGAGGGUGAUCGGCCACACUGGGACUGAGACACGGCCCAGACUCCUACGGGAGGCAGCAGUAGGGAAUCUUCGGCAAUGGACGGAAGUCUGACCGAGCAACGCCGCGUGAGUGAAGAAGGUUUUCGGAUCGUAAAGCUCGGUUGUAAGAGAAGAACGAGUGUGAGAGUGGAAAGUUCACACUGUGACGGUAUCUUACCGGAAAGGGACGGCUAACUACGUG